CGCGUAGGCGGUUUACACAGUCAGAUGUGAAAUUCCAGGGCUUAACCUUGGGGCUGCAUUUGAUACGUGUAGACUAGAGUGUGAGAGAGGGUUGUGGAAUUCCCAGUGUAGAGGUGAAAUUCGUAGAUAUUGGGAAGAACACCGGUGGCGAAGGCGGCAACCUGGCUCAUUACUGACGCUGAGGCGCGAAAGCGUGGGGAGCAAACAGGAUUAGAUACCCCCGUA
rnacentral:rRNA from 1 species